rnacentral:rRNA from 1 species
UACGUAGGGUGCGAGCGUUGUCCGGAAUUACUGGGCGUAAAGGGCGCGUAGGCGGCCACUGCAAGUCAGUUGUGAAAUCUCCGGGCUUAACCCGGAAAGGUCAGCUGAUACUGCAGGGCUAGAGUGCAGAAGGGGCAACUGGAAUUCUCGGUGUAGCGGUGAAAUGCGUAGAUAUCGAGAGGAACACCUGCGGCGAAGGCGGGUUGCUGGGCUGACACUGACGCUGACAGCGCGAAAGCUAGGGGAGCGAACGGG